CUGGCCGUAAACGAUGGGUACUAGGUGUAGGAGGUAUCGACCCCUUCUGUGCCGGAGUUAACGCAAUAAGUACCCCGCCUGGGGAGUACGUCCGCAAGGAUGAAACUCAAAGGAAUUGACGGGGGCCCGCACAAGCGGUGGAGUAUGUGGUUUAAUUCGACGCAACGCGAAGAACCUUACCAAGGCUUGACAUUGAAUGACCGCUCCAGAGAUGGAGCUUUCCCUUCGGGGACAUGAAAACAGGUGG
rnacentral:rRNA from 1 species